UACGUAGGGGGCAAGCGUUGUCCGGAUUUAUUGGGCGUAAAGAGCGUGUAGGCGGCCAGAUAGGUCAGCUGUGAAAACUCGAGGCUCAACCUCGAGAUGUCGGCUGAAACCAUCUGGCUAGGUACGGCGAAGAGGAGAAUGGAAUUCCCGGUGUAGCGGUGAAAUGCGCAGAUAUCGGGAAGAACACCCGUGGCGAAGGCGGUUCUCUGGGACGGUACUGACGCUGAGACGCGAAAGCGUGGGGAGCGAACAGG
rnacentral:rRNA from 1 species